GACAGAGGGUGCAAACGUUGUUCGGAAUUACUGGGCGUAAAGCGAGUGUAGGCGGUUUGGAAAGUCGGAUGUGAAAGCCCCGGGCUCAACCCGGGAGGUGCACUCGAUACUCCCAAGCUAGAGUAUCGGAGAGGUUGGCGGAAUUCUCGGUGUAGCGGUGAAAUGCGCAGAUAUCAGGAGGAACACCGGUGGCGAAGGCGGGGUCUCUGGGCCGUAACUGACGUUGAGGAGCGAAAGCAUGGGGGAGCGAACGAGG
rnacentral:rRNA from 1 species